AGAUUGAACGCUGGCGGCAGGCCUAACACAUGCAAGUCGAGCGGUAGAGAGGUGCUUGCAUCUCUUGAGAGCGGCGGACGGGUGAGUAAUGCCUAGGAAUCUGCCUAGUGGUGGGGGAUAACGUUCGGAAACGGACGCUAAUACCGCAUACGUCCUACGGGAGAAAGCGGGGGACCUUCGGGCCUCGCGCCAUUAGAUGAGCCUAGGUCGGAUUAGCUAGUUGGUGAGGUAAUGGCUCACCAAGGCGACGAUCCGUAACUGGUCUGAGAGGAUGAUCAGUCACACUGGAACUGAGACACGGUCCAGACUCCUACGGGAGGCAGCAGUGGGAAUAUUGGACAAUGGGCGAAAGCCUGAUCCAGCCAUGCCGCGUGUGUGAAGAGGUCUUCGGAUUGUAAAGCACUUUAAGUGGAGAAGGUUGUAACCUAAUACGUUGACAACUUGACGUUACCGACUAGAAUAAGCACCGGCUAACUCGUGCCAGCAGCCGUACG
rnacentral:rRNA from 1 species